UAAAUGCUCAAAAUAUAAAAUACUGAGCUGAGAUUUGCGAAGAGCAGCAGCAUGGAUGGAUUUUAUGACCAGCAAGUGCCUUACAUGGUCACCAAUAGUCAGCGUGGGAGAAAUUGUAACGAGAAACCAACAAAUGUCAGGAAAAGAAAAUUCAUUAACAGAGAUCUGGCUCAUGAUUCAGAAGAACUCUUUCAAGAUCUAAGUCAAUUACAGGAAACAUGGCUUGCAGAAGCUCAGGUACCUGACAAUGAUGAGCAGUUUGUACCAGACUAUCAGGCUGAAAGUUUAAGAUCAACACAGAUUGGAGUACUUGAGAAAGACUUCAUGAAGAAAAUGAAGCCUGACCUACAAUAGAAUGAGAAAUCUACCCAAUGAAAUAUUAGGAAUGACAGGAACCUGGAGAUGAUUCACCCAAUAUCUCUGUGUUUGUUGGAUAAUAAUAGCUAAUACUUGUGUAAUGCUCACGAUGUGCUAGUUCCUCUUCUAAACACUUUAUGAAUAUCUUAAUGCAGCCAAUCUUCAUAACAUCCUUAUUUAGUAGAAACUAUUAUUAUCUCUUUCUUUUGGUGAGAA
rnacentral:sRNA from 1 species